rnacentral:rRNA from 1 species
AAUGAACGCUGGCGGCAGGCCUAACACAUGCAAGUCGAACGGAUCCUUCGGGAUUAGUGGCGGACGGGUGAGUAACGCGUGGGAACAUACCCAAAGGUACGGAAUAGCCUCGGGAAACUUGGAGUAAUACCGUAUGUGCUCGAAAGAGGAAAGAUUUAUCGCCUUUGGAUUGGCCCGCGUUGGAUUAGGUAGUUGGUGGGGUAAUGGCCUACCAAGCCGAAGAUCCAUAGCUGGUUUGAGAGGAUGAUCAGCCACACUGGGACUGAGACACGGCCCAGACUCCUACGGGAGGCAGCAGUGGGGAAUCUUAGACAAUGGGGGAAACCCUGAUCUAGCCAUGCCGCGUGAUCGAUGAAGGCCUUAGGGUUGUAAAGAUCUUUCAGGUGGGAAGAUAAUGACUGUACCACCAGAAGAAGCCCCGGCUAACUCCGUGCCAGCCGCCGCAGUAA